AGACAAUAGGCUUGAAAAAGGGCAGAACACAGGGUGGUCCAGAUGCCCAGCUUCUUCCCACAUCGUGACACAUAGCUGUUUGGGAGAAGUUUUGCAAAUGUGAUCCUAAAAUACACCCCAACGUCAAGGAACAUUCUUUCUAUCAUGACGAAGCACAGAAUAAUACAUGUCCUAUGCAGCUAUUGUUACCCUAAUAACAAUAUCCUCUACUUGCACGUGUGUCACCCUUGAUCUCAUGCCACUAUUCAUCAGUUGGCCACUGGAGAUAGAAGUCAGUAGCAGCAUGGCCAGAUAGAACUGAGAACAAAGCCCUCUCCCUGCCUGUCUUGGGAUCCAUUUGGGUUGUGAAAGGUGAAAGGUCAGCCCAGAGAGCACCAGGCAACAGAGGGUCCCUCGGAGCCAGAGCUGCUGUCUAUGUAAUCGGAUCUGACCACAGAGAAUGUGACUAAGCGAAACCCCAUCUGCUGCGAGGUUUCCCUGUAUUCCCAGGAGGGACCGGAGCAGGAUAUGAGGCGGCGGCGGCGAGGUGAGGGUCUACACGGAAAUGGUGAGCCCCCUCAUGUGUAAUGUGUCUCACCGCAGGCCUGCGUGGGUCUCCCCCAGCAUGACAUCAUCCCAGAGCUCACCCGGGCUCAGGUCCACACACACUGCU